rnacentral:lncRNA from 1 species
UAUUAAUGGAUUAAUAUUACUUCUAUAUAUACAUAUAUACAUAUAUACACACACACACACAAUUUUUAAAAAGAGAAUUAAAGUAGAGCUGGGGCAAUUGUGGAACACACCUUCAACCUCAGGCAGAUUUCUGCGUUCAAGGUCACCCUGACUUACAAGUCAGCUAGGGCUAGAGAAAUCAUAUAUCAGAAAAAAAACGAAAAAAAUAAUAGAAAGACAGA